CCCUUAGAUGUUCUGGGCCGCACGCGUGCUACACUGAGUGGAUCAGCGGGUUAGGUAACACGAAAGUGUAUCCUAAUCUUCAAAUCCGCUCGUGAUGGGGAUUGAUGGUUGCAAUUUUUUAUCAUGAACGAGGAAUACCUUGUAGGCGCGUGUCAUCAUCACGCGCCGAAUACGUCCCUGCCCUUUGUACACACCGCCCGUCGCUCCUACCGAUUGAAUGGUUUAGUGAGAUCUUCGGAUUGGCGCCACUGCGGCUCAGCAAUGGGCUCGGUGGAUGCCGAAAAGUUGAUCAAACUUGAUCAUUUAGAGGAAGUAAAAGUCGUAACA
rnacentral:rRNA from 1 species